rnacentral:rRNA from 1 species
AGAGUUUGAUCAUGGCUCAGAUUGAACGCUGGCGGCAGGCUUAACACAUGCAAGUCGAGCGGAGAGAGGUAGCUUGCUACUGAUCUUAGCGGCGGACGGGUGAGUAAUGCUUAGGAAUCUGCCUAUUAGUGGGGGACAACAUUUCGAAAGGAAUGCUAAUACCGCAUACGUCCUACGGGAGAAAGCAGGGGAUCUUCGGACCUUGCGCUAAUAGAUGAGCCUAAGUCGGAUUAGCUAGUUGGUGGGGUAAAGGCCUACCAAGGCGACGAUCUGUAGCGGGUCUGAGAGGAUGAUCCGCCACACUGGGACUGAGACACGGCCCAGACUCCUACGGGAGGCAGCAGUGGGGAAUAUUGGACAAUGGGCGCAAGCCUGAUCCAGCCAUGCCGCGUGUGUGAAGAAGGCCUUAUGGUUGUAAAGCACUUUAAGCGAGGAGGAGGCUACUUUAGUUAAUACCUAGAGAUAGUGGACGUUACUCGCAGAAUAAGCACCGGCUAACUCUGUGCCAGCAGCCGCGGUAAUACAGAGGGUGCAAGCGUUAAUCGGAUUUACUGGGCGUAAAGCGCGCGUAGGCGGCUAAUUAAGUCAAAUGUGAAAUCCCCGAGCUUAACUUGGGAAUUGCAUUCGAUACUGGUUAGCUAGAGUGUGGGAGAGGAUGGUAGAAUUCCAGGUGUAGCGGUGAAAUGCGUAGAGAUCUGGAGGAAUACCGAUGGCGAAGGCAGCCAUCUGGCCUAACACUGACGCUGAGGUGCGAAAGCAUGGGGAGCAAACAGGAUUAGAUACCCUGGUAGUCCAUGCCGUAAACGAUGUCUACUAGCCGUUGGGGCCUUUGAGGCUUUAGUGGCACAGCUAACGCGAUAAGUAGACCGCCUGGGGAGUACGGUCGCAAGACUAAAACUCAAAUGAAUUGACGGGGGCCCGCACAAGCGGUGGAGCAUGUGGUUUAAUUCGAUGCAACGCGAAGAACCUUACCUGGCCUUGACAUAGUAAGAACUUUCCAGAGAUGGAUUGGUGCCUUCGGGAACUUACAUACAGGUGCUGCAUGGCUGUCGUCAGCUCGUGUCGUGAGAUGUUGGGUUAAGUCCCGCAACGAGCGCAACCCUUUUCCUUAUUUGCCAGCGAGUAAUGUCGGGAACUUUAAGGAUACUGCCAGUGACAAACUGGAGGAAGGCGGGGACGACGUCAAGUCAUCAUGGCCCUUACGGCCAGGGCUACACACGUGCUACAAUGGUCGGUACAAAGGGUUGCUACCUAGCGAUAGGAUGCUAAUCUCAAAAAGCCGAUCGUAGUCCGGAUUGGAGUCUGCAACUCGACUCCAUGAAGUCGGAAUCGCUAGUAAUCGCGGAUCAGAAUGCCGCGGUGAAUACGUUCCCGGGCCUUGUACACACCGCCCGUCACACCAUGGGAGUUUGUUGCACCAGGAGUAGCUAGCCUAACUGCAAAGAGGGCGGUUACCACGGUGUGGCCGAUGACUGGGGUGAAGUCGUAACAAGGUAGCCGUAGGGGAACCUGCGGCUGGAUCACCUCCUU